UAAUUAAUGUAAAUUAAAUAACAAAAACAUUCCACUAUCGACAUCUCCAAGCCUAUCUUCCAAUAAACCCUUUCAUCUCCCCAUAGAACUCAAAGGCAUCGACACCUCCAAAGCUCUCAAUACCUUUCACCUUGAGAAUUCCAUCUAUGGCUAACUCUAAAUCCCCAUAUCCCCAAAUCAAAUCAUUGGCCUAACCCAAUAUCCCCAAAUCUAAGUGUCGAUCAUUUUUUGUUAUUCGAAGAAGAGAAGGCAUCAAAGAGAACAAAGGAAAAAUCUAAAAGACACGAUUAAAGGUGAGAAAACUACUUCAAUCGCGAGAAAGUUUCGACCCAAAAGGCACUAUGUGAGAAACUAACUUCAGUUUUUGUUUUGUAGGAAAAUAUUGGGGAGGAGGGGGUAGGGUUUGGUGGUCGUUGAAGAAAUUAUGAGAGAUUUGUUAUCCUUUUGUUCGGUUGUUGAGGCUCGAUCCUUCUCCAACAUCCUCUUCUGGCUCAGUUGUGCUACAUUUUGAGGUAAUAACAAUUGGAAAAGAAAGAUACACAGUUGGUGAGGCAUUGUUUCAACCAUCUAUAUUGGGUAAUGAUACUCAUGGAAUAGUCGAGCAGCUUGUUCAUAGUAUUUCGUCUGUGUCGUCUAAAAAUCACCGCCAGCUGCUAGAGAACACAGUACUUUGUGGUGGCACUGCUACUAUAACCGGUCAGUCUUCAUCUCCUUGUUUAGAUGAAUGUGACUGACGAAUGUUCAUAUUUCUCCGUAUUUCUGCGCUUCUGUUUUGUUAGUAGAACUUUUUAGUUUUCCUUGUUUUGUUGGUUUAUCUCAAGUAGUUCAAUUUGAUUGGAUUUAUUUGAAAUGCUGGUUGUAUGACAUUCAGUCCUUUCCUUGCUCGAAUUAAUGCGACCGGGAAGUGUAAUAUUCCCUUUUAUUUUCCGUUAUUGGUAUUUUUUUGGGGGGCAAGCUUUCAAUAUUUAUGUACUGGAUACAUUUGAGAUUGAGUGCACUUAGAAGAGGUCAGAUGGGCUGAUGUUUAGCUAGUGGACUAUAAGUAGCAGUCAGCAGCAAUAAUUGUUCUUUACAAAAUAUGGCUUCUCCUUAGGAGAACUACCUUGAUCAUUUCCUUCAUAGAAUUGGCUUGUGCUUCAUAUGCUUGAUG